rnacentral:tRNA from 1 species
UACAUUUUAGUAUAUGAUGUACAGGGAUUUUUGGUAUCUCAGGAAGUGGUUUAAUUCUGCUAAAUGUAA